AUUUCUCUCUCCCCUUACGUUAGAGAAGUUCUGGAAGCUUUGCUUUAGGACUUUCUUUUCUGUUAAGAGGCCUCACUUAAAUCUUUAGAAAUUCAUUCUCUCUGAUCUCUAGGAUAGUUCUCUGCUAGUGGAUUACGUUCAUGUAGGGCCAUGAUGAAGUCAAAGAAGGCCAACCCAAUUAAAUUCAAGUCCAAUUGGAGCAAGGAAUCAAAGGAAAUUUGCACCUAAUCCAAGUCCAAUUCGGAUUAGGAUUCCAGCUUGCGGACCAGUUAGUAUUUGGAGCAUAACUUUUGGCUCAGAUGUCCAAUCGAGAUGAUUCAGUUGGGCUGGAAAGCUAACUUAAAGGGCUACAACUUUGUAGUUUAUCAAAAGUCCGAAUUCUAAAGUUAAAUGGGCAAAAAACGUUGGUUAAUUGCCUAAAAGCCUGAGAUUUUCUCCAAACGGGAAUUCAACUUGUAAUAGGAUUCCUUGACCUAUUUAAAGGCUCUUUAGGGAAAAAUUUAGAAGGGAAUUUCCAUAGAACAUAAUUUAGGUUUUCUUAAAGUUUUUUUAUUUUUUAUAGUUUUACUUGUGUUAUGGCUUACUAGAAGCCUUGCUAAGGCAAGGGGUGAAACCCAACCGUUUAUUGGUAUGUUCUUAACAAUUAUUUAUUGGUUUUAAUGCUUAUGUUUUUAUGUUUUUGACUGUUUUACUCAUCUAGAAAAGUGUUUAGUUCUGUAUAAUCCUUUGAUUUAUCAUAGACUCUGAGCAAGUUAAAUGCUUA